rnacentral:lncRNA from 1 species
AAGUUGUGAUCGAACUGUGUGAACAAAGAUUCAUAAACACGAGCAAGCUCAUUUGGGUCUGAAACCACAUCAAUACCAAAGUGUGUUUCAAAAACCCUCAAGCUCCGGAGCUCCUUCAACAUCUCUUCAUAGGAGAGAAGACCGUCGUUGUUUGUGUCGAGGCGAGCGAACCGAUUUCCUACCGAGCUAUUAAAUGCUUCUUCAUCUUCAAGGAAGUGGACAAUUGUGGCACCAUCCAAAAUUUCUACACUCAUCUUUCUUUUCUACUUGAUGUAAAAAAUGGAAGGUAGUUUGUAUUGACAAAUAUAGUUUUGUGUUUGCAAAUGCUUGUGAUUUGAUGAGAAGAGUUGGAUCCUUCCAUGUAUAUAUAACCAUUAACAAUUGUUUCCAGAAGAAUAUAUUCUUUAACUACUAACAUGGUAUAGAAACCAUGUGCUUUUUGUGUACCUUGCAUCUAUUAGUUUAUUUUAUUGUCCAACCGUUAAAAUUGGAUGCUUUCUUCAACUGUUGGCUCUUGAUUGUUGAAAUUGUUCCUUGUCAGUAAUCCACGGAUAUACCAAAGAUAUGAUUAUAUGAAUAUAUUAUAUAUAGCACUUACAUUCUGCAUGUCACGUUGAGCUUAGCUCAGUUGGUAGGGACCUAUGAAGUACGAAUAUGGACACGAACAUCGGACCCGACACAGACACACCGACACAACUAAUAAUUUGAAAAAAUAACAUAAUUCAGUGUAGUUACAAGUGCCGGUGUCGGACACGACACAUGUCCGACACCGAGACACGCCUAAUCCAAUUUGUGUUUCAUAGGUAGGGACAAUGUUAAAUAUAUAUAGACUGUAGUUCAAACAACCAAUACUUCAUUUAUUAAUCUCCGAUAAGUAUUUGUGCUUCAUAGGUAGGACAAUGUAUAAUAUAUAUAUAUAUACUGUAGUUCAAACAACCAAUACUUCAUUUAUUAAUCUCAAAUAGGUAAAUUUUUAGUCACUAGAUUAAUUGAUGAAUUUUUUUUUUUUACAUUCUAUCUAAUUGGUGAAAGAUUAAUCUAGUAACUUUAAGGUAUUUAGUUCAAAUUCACUGGAGGAUUAUUGUAAAAUGAUAAUUAGCGUUACUAUAAUUAAUAAAAUAUUUUCUUCUAUUAAAAUAUAUUAUUUGCAUAAUAAUGAAACUUCACGUCGUGAAGUCAGCGUUGGAAAACUAAUUCCCUCGUUUUAGUGUAUGUAUGCAUGUCAAAUGUCAAACGAGUAAAGUAGGUAUGAAAUAAUUUAUUGGACGUGGUGGUUUGUUGAAUGUCUUAAACAAUGGGUACCCAUUGAUUAUUUUAAUAUUAUUCAAAGAACUAAAAUUAUUAUGCUUUACAAAGGAUCUUCUUGGUUUAUUCUUCUUAUUUUUCCUUUCUUGUCGAAACAUUUUGCCCCGUGAUCAGUAGUAAAUUACGAUAAUAUAAAACAUGCUUUUGGAUGGAACCAAAACAUUCGACUAAGCAGUGUCAGUGAUCAUAUAACAUCAUAGUGUUAAGUAUAUGAUGUAUAAAGAACAUAUGACUUGCACCAUCACAAAGUAGUUUAUAUCGUUUGAUCAAUAAAUCUCACUAUUUAAUUAAAUGAAAUAUGAUGAAAUAUGAUGAAAUUUAAUGAUCUAAUGGUGAAAAAUAAGUUUGUGUAUGGUACAAUUCUAAUUUGCUUUUGUACAUUAGACAAAAUCAUGCAUAUCAAUCUAUCAAAUUUUCUAGAUCUUUUUUAAUAAUUUUUGAUAUAGUUUUUCUAAACAUUCAUUUACCUCUAGUGAUUUGAGUGUCCUUCCUUACUAGAAAAAUCUGAAGGUUUUCUUUCCACAUGCCCAAACCACCAGAGCCGAGUUUUCACCAUAUUUUCUAUAAUAGUCUUAAUAGUCUUACAACACUUUUAACUCAACAUUUUCAUCUCUGCUACACCUAUUUUAUUCCGGUGUUGGUUCUUUACUAUCUAACACUCUAUUGCAUACUACAUCUUUUGCCUUAUUGUUGUACAAUUAACAAUUUCCUUUAUCAUGAAAGGUACUUUUGUAUUUCAUAAAACACAUGACACCUUCAUCCAUUUAAGACACCCAUCUUGAAACUGAUUGUUUACAUAUUCUACUUCUAUGUCAUUUUGGACUAUGGAUCAAACAUAUAUAAAUUGAGCAAUGACAUUUGCACAUCUAUUUAAUGAUAACUUUGAUGACAAUUAUGUUUUUCUCUCUUCUUAUUUGGUAAAAAACAAUAUAUAUAUAUAUAUAUAUAUAUAUAUAUAUAUAUAUAUAGAGAGAGAGAGAGAUGAUAAGAACAUCAUGUAAGUAUGAGAGAACAUCAUGGUUGUAUAAAUUGUGUACCUUGCGGUAUGAUAUGUGAUGUGUGAAAUCCGCAAGUGCACGGUUCUAUUGAAGUAGUAAAAAUAUCGUUCCAUAGGGAGUUGUUGUAAUUACUGAUUUACUUUCUAAUUAAGAUUAGCUAAAAAGAAUAAAGUUUAAAAGUUUGACUGAUUAACGGUAUAAAAUUCAGAAUUAAAAACGGCUCGGGAUUAUUGGUUCGUCGUGGACAAACAACUUUCAAUCCAAACCUAUACCUUCCUCUUAUAUUAGAUUUAUUUUCUAAAUACAGAUUUCUCUAAGGUAUUUCAUAUCUCCGUUCGGUCUCCAUGAAUGUGCCUCAAUAACAACCACACAUAUUCUCAUGGUUGAUUACUAUUGAAACCCUUUAAGAACGAAACCUAUGGCCUCAAGACUUCAUAAAACUAUUCAUCUGGGGUGUUCCCAUCGAGUUUUAUGUUGUCGUGUCUAAUCACAUUUAUUUUGGGUUUGAGUUUGGUUUUACCGGAGACCCAUUUAUUUUUAUGGGUUUUCCAUUUUUAGAAACCAUACCCACCCAAUUACCUAACCCAACCCAUUUUUUGGAGUUUUUUAGGUGGGUUUGACCGGAUUUUCUUGGUUGGCCCCUAUAAACAUCCUUAGGUACACUCUUACGUAAUCAGAGACUUUGGGUAUAUAUAUGAAGUGAUCAAUGAAUUUACGGUAAAAACUUCAACUAUUUUCGGAAGUACAAUACAAUCUCAAAAUAUUUUUUUGUUAUUUCUUGUAGACGUUUGGAAUUCAUAACAAAAAAAACCAGUGGUAAUUAUAAUAAUAACAAACAAAAUGUUAAAAAUACUAGAAUACUUGGUUAAAUCUCAAAAUAGUAUUUACGCUGCCACUUUAUUAGAGUCAAUUUCAACAGCUUUUUUGAGGAUGCUGUCUUCUUCCAAGACCAUUUGAAUUGGCAUGAAACCCAUCCCAUCUGCCAUUGCAAGCAUCAUCUGCUUAGUUUCCUUCUUGAAUUCUUCCAAAUCAAUUGUGCCAUUCAAGUUGUGAUCGAAUUGUAUGAACAAAGAUUCAUAAACACGAGCAAGCUCAUUUGGGUCUGAAUCCACAUCAAUACCAAAGUGUGUUUCAAAAAUCCUCAAGCUCCGGAGCUCCUUCAACAUCUCUUCAUAGGAGAGAAGACCGUCGUUGUUUGUGUCGAGGCGAGCGAACCGAUUUCCUACCGAGCUAUUAAAUGCUUCUUCAUCUUCAAGGAAGUGGACAAUUGUGGCACCAUCCAAAAUUUCCACACUCAUUUUUCUCUUCAACUUGAUGUAAAAAAUAGUUUGUAUAGACAAAUAUAGUUUUGUGUUUGCAAAUGUUGUGAUUUGAUAAGAAGAGUUGGAUCCUUCCAUGUAUAUAUAGACAUUAACAAUUGCUUCCAGAAGAAUAUAUUCUUUAACUACUAGCAUGGUAUAGAAACCAUGUGCUUUUUGUGUCUCUUGCAUCUAGUAGUUUAAAUGUGUUAAUUUUUUUUUUUUUGAGAGAAAUGUGUUAAAUUAUUUAUUGGACGCCUAAUGCCCCCGUUUUAGUAUAUGCAUGUCAAACGAGUAAAGUAGGUUAGGAUUAAUUUAUUGGACGUGGUGUUUUGUUGAAUGUCUUAAACAAAGGGUAGGGUACCCAUUGAUUAUUUUAGUUAUUAUUCAAAGAACAAGAUUAUUAUGCUUUACAAAGAUUUUCUUUGUUUAUUCCUUUUUUGUUCUUGUUUUACAACAUUUUGUCCCAUGUUUAGUAGGAAGUUACAUAAUAUAAAGCAUGCUUUUCAAAUAAUCCCAUUAUAAUUUAAAUUUUAUUAGAAAACAAGUAAAAGAUUUUUUUUGUUGGUGGCCGGGGUUUGAACCUCGGACUUUGUAUAUAUUAUGCAUUGUCCUUACCAACAGAACUAAGCUCACGAGGACAACUAGUAAAAGAUUUGUGUAUUCAUAUGGGUCGCAUAACAUUGGGAUAAUUUUAUAAAAAAUAAUUACAUAUAUAAUAUUGUGAAAUGUUUAAAAAUAUUAAAUAAAAAUUAUUAGUAUUGAUAUGAGAAAGUCGAUUGGAUAAAAUUUUGAAAACUCAUGACUAUUUUCAAAAUAUCAACAUUAAUAUAAUGUUUCUCUUAAAUAUAUUUUUAUUUAGGAUCUUAUUAACGAGUGCCUCAGGACAUUAUUUAAGUAUACUAAAUUAAGUAAUUAUUCUUUAAAAAUGUCAAAGUUUUCAUUUUUCAAUGCACUGAUUACACAAACUUUCAUAAAAAGUUACCAUUUAAGGUCCUUAACUAAUGCCCCGGAGGCACUAGUUAAAUAUUCGUAUCGCACCGUUAAAUAUUUGCACCAUACUCGUUACGGAUUUGAUGUGUUUAAAUACGGGGAUGCAAUUUUUUAUGUACCCACAUAAUAAUAUUUUGAACAGUCGCAACUAUUUUUAAAAUGAGUUAUGAUACAUAAACACCCUGUAGGUGGCAAUACACCCUUUGACACCCACACAAAAAUCUGACAUGUAGUCAUAUGGACCCCGCACAAGUACACUUUCUCUUUCUUCUUCUCUUCUCUCUUCCUAAUACAUGGGGUGUACAAGGGUGUAUGCAAUUAAAAGGCGUCUAUGUAACAUUUUCCUUUUAAAAUAUGAACAUUAAUAGUGUUCUGAUUAGAUAUUUGUCUAUUUGAUAUGUAAAACACCGAAAAAUAUUUGUAUCGCACUCGCUGUGUAUUUUAUGUGCUUGUAUGUGUGAAAAAUUAAUCUAUUGAAUAUUUUUAUAUAUAUUUGCUUUUUAAUCCGAAUGGGAUGAAAAUUAGAAAGAAAGUUCAAAAAUCCCUUUUAAAAGUUAGAGUACAAAAAUGGGUUAAAAUUAAAGGGUUAAUUAAGUUUUUAGUCUCUAUAAAUAUUCACAAUUUUGUUUUUCGUCCUUAUAAAAUAAAAUCACACUUUUUAGUCCCUAUAAAAUUUUCCAUCAACAUUUUUAGUCCCUAUAAAAUUUUCCAUCAGCACUUUUAGUCCUUGUAAAAAAAUUUCAUCAGCAGUUUUGGUCCCUAAAAUGCUUAAGGAAAAUGUCAAAGGGACUAAAAAGUGUGAUUUUAUUUUGUAGGGACUAAAAAAAAAACCAUGAAUAUUUAUAGGGACUAAAAACUUAAUUAACCCAAAAUUAAAUAACUUGAGCAGAAUUGUUUUUUUGGUGUGUGCUAAAGUUUCAAUCAGUCAAAAAUGGAGAGGUUAAAUUAUGAGUUUAUGACCCUUUUUUAUUCUCCACUUAAAUACGACUUAUUAUCUAUGAAACACGACACAUAUAAUUACACUGAAUUAUAAGAUUUUCUUAAAUUAUUAAUGCGUCGGUGUGUUAUUGUCUUGUGUCGUGUCCGUAUUUGUGUUUAAUGGCUUAUUAUAAAACGCAUAAUUUUCUUUUUGGUGAAAUCAAAAUUUAGUUCAAGUGAAUUUUAUUUUGAUGCUUUAGAUGUUGGAUGACAGUGUUGGAAAUUGAGUGACUGAAAUGUGUGCAGACCAUGUUAAAUUCUCUAGUGCCACACUCUUACCUAAUCGAGACUUUUGGUAUAAUAUGAAGUGAUCAAUGAAUUUACGGUAAAAACUUUAACUAUUUUCAGAAGUACAAUACAAUCACUUUUCUGCUACAAAUGUAAAAACUCAUGUAGUUUAUUUCUUGUAGACAUUUGGAAUUCAUAACAAAAAAACCAAUGUGUUUCAAAAACCCUCAAGCUCCUGACAGGCUCGGUUUUGAGGGGGAGCAAACAGCUCAACAGAGGGGCCAGUCAUGGGCCUCGAUUUUUUUUUUAAUACCCAUUAGUACUAAUGCCCUCUAAUUUUUUUUAAUACCCCCAACCAUUUGUUGUCCCCUUGUUUUAGCCUUUUAGGCCUAUUAGAAUUAGGUCCUCUUGCUUUUGGUGUUAAGUGGAGGGGUUCCUCAUAUAUACGGUAAUCAUUUUCACAUUUGGGUGUACCACAUAUAUACGGCACAUUAUAUUUAUUUUUUAAAAAAUAUAAAUAGAACAUUACUCUUUUAAAAAAAAUACGUUUUCAUUUUAUCAUUGGCCUCUUUUCAUUUCCAGAGCCGAGCCUCCAAAUUCUUAGGGACGGCCCCGGCUCCUGAGCUCCUUCAACAUCUCAUCAUAAGAGAGCAGACCAUCCUUAUUUGUGUCGAGCCGAGCAAACUGAUUUCCUACUGAGCUAUUAAACGCUUCUUCAUCUUCAAGGAAGUGGACAAUUGUGGCACCAUCCAAAAUUUCUACACUCAUCUUUCUCAUCCAAAAUUUCUACUGAGCGAACCGAUGUUAAAUGGAAGGUUGUUUGUAAAGAUAGUUUUGUGUUUGCAAAUGCUAUUGCUUUGAUGAGAAGAGUUGGAUCCUUA